ensembl:lncRNA
AUGAAAAGUUUUAUGUGCUUUUAUUUUUAUUUUUUUUGGCUGUUUGCAGAUAAAAGACUCACUGGGCCAAAAAUGCUGUCUCAAAUGGAUGAAGAAAUCAUGACAUCCCUUCGUGAGCUCCCAGAAAUGAUUAAAUUAAUGAAGGAGUGUGUGCAGUGUGUCCGGUCAUUGAUUCCCUCACCUGGUGGGACCCCCUCAUCAGGAAUGUCUGCCUCUAGUACUGUUCCCAGUGAAAUUGAAAUGUGUUCCGAAGAGGGCUUUCCAGCGGCUGAACAGAUCUCGCAUGACCAUUUUUGCCCAAGAGCUGGCUGUUCUGGUGUUCACAAAGGAACUGCUGGCAGAGUCCACCCUAACAGGAAAAUCUGUGCGAGGGGCCCCCCCCCAAAAAACAGCUGGAUGUUGAAAAAGUUCAGGCCAUAACAGACACUGUUCUUGUGGAGUUUCCACACACAACUCCGUCGGAAGUGCGAGCGGCCAUCAGGCGCAAGUGCAACAAUGAGCAAUUUAGCAAGAAAAAUUGAAGUUUGCUUGCUGUUCCACAAUGUUUCAAUUUUGUUUUCUUUCAGCAUUCUUUUUUUUUUUUUAAACAUGGUGUAUUUUGUUCUGUUUUUCAAUGCUACAACCAUGUGAGGAUUUAAUAAACACUGUUUGAGUUCAUUAUGUGUAUCUGUGUGGUAUUGAAAUUACAUGUUAUUUAUUGUAAUGACCCUGACAAGUGCAUUCAGGUUUGGGGAAGAAAGUAUAUUUUUACUCAAAAAUAAUAUAUUUAUGGUAUAUUUCUUGUUUGUUUGGAAGACACUCUUAAUUAAUUUGUAAUGUACUUGUAAUACAAAAAAGUACGCUUUAAUAUCACUAAUUAAGCAUGAAAAUAUGCAUGUACUUAAAGUGUACUAAGUAUACUUGAAAUUGUCUCAAUUUAGCAUCAAAAAGUACACUAAAUACACUUAAAGUUAUACUUUAGUAUAAUUUAAUUAUAACUUAAAUACACUUAGUACAAAAAAAAUGUAUCCAAAAUAGCACACUUCAAGUUAACUAAUCAUUAACACACUUGAAGUAUACUGACAAUUAGUCUGGCUGCAAGUAUACUUAGCAUGCUUUUUUAUCACUAGGGCAGACACAUUAAAUUUACAAAUGGUUGUGCCCGCUCUUACUGGAAAAAUAAUUUUUCCCUGUUGGUUAUAAAUAAAUCAAAUUGUUAACUUUUUCAUACUUAACUUUUGUGUUGAUUGAAGUUAUUCUUUGUUGGUUUAAUUCCCAUGCUGUAUAGGAAUAUUACUAUAGGAGUAUAAACCUAGUUAAUCUGGGUUACAGUGACCAAAUAAGGUAAUAGGAGAAAAAGUUAUAUAUAGUUGGGAGACACACUGUCAGAACCUGGUGCUCCGCCCUAUUAAAGGUUAAGGGUAGGAGGGCGCUACACAAAUUAGGGCUCGUCCGGGAUCACUACUUCCUGUUACCCUCAUGAAGACAAAAGAUUGAAAACAAGACCUGAGUUAUAUUUGAAGUGUCAAUAAGUAAAUUGAUAAUUAUCUGCCUGAAGUUUCAGCAUGGCCUUUGGAUGUAGCCCCCUUCUUCUCACUGAACUCUCCAAGUGGUGUAAGUAGGCAGGAAUUGAGGAGACUCAUGCCAUACUGUUGAUUGGCAUACCUGCAACUACUGAAGUAGCAAGUAUUGAAGAUACUGUUCAGACUGUAAAAUCUUUGGAAGAGUGCGGGUUAGAGACUCAAAAUUGGGGCCAAGUCCUGGUACCCUCUAGGUGCUACAGUAUGUGAGUGCCGUGAGGUCAUUGACCCUGCCCGUGUUCCAGCUGAACUGCUGUGGCCAGAUGAAGAAGAGUCAUGGAAAGUUGUAGUGGCACCUGUUGAUGUUUCAGCCUUUUCAGAGUUUUCCAAGAAAUUGUUGAAGUUCUUACUGGAUGAGGGAAAGUAUAUGACUGAUAUACAGGCCUUAUUCUCUCCACAGAGUUCCAGUUCUCCUGAGUCUAUUAAACAUGCCAUGGGUGAACUUCUGGAGAAGACAAUGAAACCAUCAGGUGAAACUAAUGUUUAUCGAUGACUAUGUAUCUUUUCUGGUACUGUUCCAAUACCGACUGGAGAGGAAAGUCUAGAAAACUGGAUAGAACAGGCCAGAUUAAUGACUGAGGAAUAUGAGUGUUCGGAGAAGGAAAAACGGUGAAGAAUAAUGUAGAAUGUGAAAGGGCUAGCCCUUGACAUUAUCAAAUGUGUUCACUUUUCAAGUCCUGAGACAAGUGCUUCUCAAUAUCUUGAAGCAUUAGAAAACACAUUUGAAACCUCUGAGUAAGGAAAGGAUCCACGCUUUGUCUGACUUUCUGCGUAGGAUGGAGAAAUCCUUAACGAAAGUGGUACAAAGAGGAGGAUUGAGUCCCCAGAUGAUGGACAGAACAAGGGUUGAUUAGGGUUGAACAGCUGAUUAGAGGUGCGGUUGAGUCGGAUCUGAUGCUUCUGCAGUUAAGACUGAGGGAAAGAAGAAAACAGCCACCCUAAUUUGUUAGCACUGCUAAAUGAAAUCAAAAAAGCUGAGGAGAACGAAGCCACUCGCUAUAAAAUCAAUGCAUCUGUGAAACCCAUACAGCUGAAGCAGGAUGAUAAAUUAGACUCCUCUAUAAUCCGAC